ncrna:Nicotiana tabacum cultivar TN90 Ntab-TN90_scaffold3194, whole genome shotgun sequence
CUUGUAGCUUAGUUGGUUAAAGCGCCAAUUUAGUUAGUGGAGGUCUUGAGUUCAACUCUCAAAAACAAGA